CCAAGGUAGCAGAUUUACCCCUUAAAAAGGCACAUCAAGUGAAGUUUUAUUAGCAGAAUGUAGAAAGAAAUUGCAGGACUUUGAAGAAACCAAGAAAGGCAAGUAGAAUAGAGGGGGGAUGAUUUUAGGAAGUGGGAAAGAGAAGCAGAGAGAAGGGCAGACAAGAAAAUGAAAGGGAUCAUGGUGAAUGAUAAGAAAAGGAGAAACAAUGACUUUCUACCUCCCGGAUCGGGUGGGGCAGGGCGAGGAAACUGGAGAACAGGACCGCCACCGAAAACGACCCUAUACAACCCACACACAGACUGACGCAAGGUUGAGACAGUUGACACCCUUGGACAGCAUUUAAAGAUUUGUUCAAGCCCCCGUGAUGAGCCAAUGGUUUGUCUCUUUGUCAAUGUUGAGUCAAUUGAAUUUCUAGUAGAUACUGGCGCUGCAAUGUCUGUCAUAAAUUCAAAAAUGAUGUCCAAUCCUCCCAUGUCAAAUGAAUCAGUUAGCACUGUGGGGGCCUCGGGAGUGAUUAUGAAAGAGUUCAUCACGAUGCCCCUGCCGGUUAAAAUUGAUGAUACAUGCAGGACACAUCAAUUUAUUGCCUCCGCAUGUUGCCCUGUAAAUUUGGCAGGAAGAGAUUUUCUCUGUAAAUUGGGAAUUCAUAUUAUUUUAUCCAAAUGUGUGAUUGGUACUAUGCAUGGGACAUACAGGACAUUGAUGGAUCACAUUGUGACCCAAUUGAAGAGAUUUUCUCAACGGCCCUGUUGGAAAAAGAAAGGCAGUUUGAUGGCACAGACAGACCUACAGACAGACCUACAGACAGACCUACAUUGCACCGCCCAUUUCUCACCAAUUACGAGAGAUUUACACUUUGAGAGAUUUAUAUUAUGAAAAAAAUUGGCUGAAGGAAACUGCCCCCCAAGAAAGCUUACUAUGCAGUGAUACUCACGACCUUCAGAUUAUAAUGGGCCUCAGUUUUGUUUUAUGCUCUUAGUAUUAAAGAUGUCUAAAGAACAGGCUUUUUUUGAUAUUUUUAGGAUACUGGUGUCUGGUUGAAAUCCGUCUUGCAGGUCACUGACUGGGAACUCAGAGCGGAUGGGUCUAAAUUCUGUGGAGACUGAGUCACCCUUGUUGGCUGGUCUCCCAGAGUCUCUGUGGGCUAAGGAUAAGUAUGACAUUGGGCGAAUGAGGGGGGUGAAACUGCUUACGUCACACCUGAGAGCACACAGACCCGGCCAAGCCCAGCAUUCUCUGAGUCAGGAGGCAGUGCGGGGGAUUACCCUGUUCAUGCUUCAUUGGUAGAAAUAGGAGAAAUUGUGCCUUGUCCAGACUCUCCCUGCAACACCCCCAUUCUUCCUGUCCGAAAAGCCUCGGGGUAAAAGCAGAUUUGCCUAAACCAAAGGGAGGACAGCUCCACAAAUUGCAGCCAGGCAAUUGGGUGGUCACCAAGGACCUCCGCAGAAAGACUCGGCACCAACAGCGCUGGACUGGUCCAUUCCAAGUGCUCCUGACGACCCGGACAGAAGGUUGUAGAGAGGUCUACGUGGCUUCACGCCAGCCAUUGCAGCUGUUGUAUGGGCCCUGGGAGAAGUGGCCACAAUGCAACUGAAGUACACAGCACCAGCAAAGUCCCACGGCGGGACUUAAAUAACAGCCACUCCAGCUCGAGCCAACGGCAGGCUCAGGACGGGAGUCCAGCAAACAAUAGCCGCCCCAUUGUUUAAGAAGACGGAGAUCGAUGCAUCAACGUGAUGAUUGUCCUCUUUGUACAGAUGAAGAGUGUACUUCUGUAUAACUGUUUCAUUGUUUAAUGAUUCCCUUAAGAAUGUUUUGCACCGUGUGAAGGUAAAAAACUCAGUGGCUCAACAGAAGCCAUUUACAAAGAUAAUGUACUAGUGUAUGUUUCAUAUUUUGCUUGGUUGAAGUUUUGCUUAAAUGAUGGUAUAAUUGGCUUAUAUUAUGAAUUAUUACUUAAAUGCGUACUUGUAAUUUUGUAUUAGGUUGAGAUUAGUCUCAAAAGGGAGGAAAAAUGUGAACAAUUACAAACUUUGUUAUGCACAUGCGCUGUAUGAGCCUUAAACCUGCACUGUCUGUUUCUCUCAUGUAAGAAGAAGCCAGCGUUUUUCCUCUCUUGUUUCUGAGUAACUUAGUCAAGAGGCCAAAGAUAAAGGGCCGUCUGAGAGUGACCCGUUUUUGGUCCAUCCUGUUCCUUUCGUAUCUUCAAGGGCACAGCUGUGUGGAGAUAUGAAGAGAACAGAGGCUGGCUUGAGCAGCAGCGACAAUUCUAUUAGCAGAAAGGAGUAACAAAACUGGCAUUAUCACUUGUUUGUACGCUAUGUUCCCACUAUGAUCUCACACACCUGCUAAACUGCCACGUAGACCGAGGUUGUAUUUUCCUAUAUAGGCUGAGACCCAACUCUUGCUUGUUGGGUUCUUAACAAUCACCUUUUGAGUGGUUGUUGACCAGCUCCAGAUUUGCAAAUCUUAUAAUAAAGUUGUUGUUUGAAGAAUC